UUUAAAACCAGCUGCCCUGAUUAGCCUGCCUGUCCUAAUUGAUUCUGGUGGCUUCUUAAUUGGCUCCAGGUGUCCUAAUUUGACUGCCUUAAUUGCAUCCAGCAACCUCCUGAUUGUUCUGGAAUAGACCAUUAUCUUACUCAGAAAAAAGGGAUCUGCUUAAUCUGGGGCUAGUAUCUCUACCUUCUAUCACUCUCCUGUAGCCAUCUGGCCUGACCCUGUCACACAAUCUCAGUUUAUUCUUAAGGAGAAAAG